UACGGAGGAUGCAAGCGUUAUCCGGAAUGGUUGGGCGUAAAGCGUCCGCAGGUGGCUGUGUAAGUCUGCUGUUAAAGAGUGAGGCUCAACCUCAUAAAGGCAGUGGAAACUACAUGGCUAGAGUGCGUUCGGGGCAGAGGGAAUUCCUGGUGUAGCGGUGAAAUGCGUAGAGAUCAGGAAGAACACCGGUGGCGAAAGCGCUCUGCUAGGCCGCAACUGACACUGAGGGACGAAAGCUAGGGGAGCGAAUGGG
rnacentral:rRNA from 1 species